rnacentral:rRNA from 1 species
GAUGAACGCUGGCGGCGUGCCUAAUACAUGCAAGUCGAGCGAACGGACGAGAAGCUUGCUUUUCUGAUGUUAGCGGCGGACGGGUGAGUAACACGUGGAUAACCUACCUAUAAGACUGGGAUAACUUCGGGAAACCGGAGCUAAUACCGGAUAAUAUUUUGAACCGCAUGGUUCAAAAGUGAAAGACGGUCUUGCUGUCACUUAUAGAUGGAUCCGCGCUGCAUUAGCUAGUUGGUAAGGUAACGGCUUACCAAGGCAACGAUGCAUAGCCGACCUGAGAGGGUGAUAGGCCACACGGGAACUGAGACACGGUCCAGACUCCUACGGGAGGCAGCAGUAGGGAAUCUUCCGCAAUGGGCGAAAGCAUGACGGAGCAACGCCGCGUGAGUGAUGAAGGUCUUCGGAUCGUAAAACUCUGUUAUUAGGGAAGAACAUAUGUGUAAGUAACUGUGCACAUCUUGACGGUACCUAAUCAGAAAGCCACGGCUAACUACGUG